GAGAUCUGUCCACCAGGCGUGACCCUGCUGGUAUUUGAAAUACUGGCAGCAUAGCUUUCAACGUCACAGCCACAUGUAGCCACCAG